rnacentral:misc_RNA from 1 species
UUUCCGUAGGUGAACCUGCGGAAGGAUCAUUAUUGUAUAACCGAGGUGCGAGGGCAGUCGCUGACCCGAAAGGUCGUGCACGCCCGAGUGCCCUCACACACAUCCAUCUCACCCCUAUGUGCACCACCGCGUGGGUCCCCCUUUGGCUUGUUCGGAGGGGGGCUUACGUUUUCACACAAACUUUGUAUGCAGUGUAGAAUGUAUUUUUUGUUUUUGCGAUCACGCAAUCAAUACAACUCUCAACAACGGAUCUCUUGGCUCUC